rfam:Photobacterium profundum SS9 chromosome 2
CUUGGCGACAAUAGCACUAUAGAACCACCUGAUCCCAUGCCGAACUCAGAAGUGAAAUAUAGUUGCGCCGAUGGUAGUGUGGGGUCUCCCCAUGUGAGAGUAGGUCAUUGCCAAGU